rnacentral:lncRNA from 1 species
AACACGUUAUCAGCACGAUUGUUCUACCUAAAUUUUCGAGUGAAGAUGGUCCAAGGAAGAUGACUCCUUAGCAGAAGAUGAAAGGGAGUUGAUUUUAAAUAUUUUAUUCUUGUUUUGAAUUGAUAAAAUAUUAACCAUCUUACUUUUGUUGUAGGUGAUUUUUCGUGCAAUUCACGAGUCUGUACUUCUAUGUCUGUUUUGGAUAUGAUAAUGUCCGAAUUUCAGAAAAUGCAAAAUACGAAACUUGUAGCAUUUUCUAUUGGCUGUUCGGAACAUUUUGAAUCAUCAAAAUCGGAUCUCGAUCAAGAGAGAUAUGCUUAAAAUACUCAGACAUGCCAGAUCUGUCAUUUGUGGUCAUUUUUCAAGACCUUGAGUCCCGUUUCGGACCUGAUAUUGUCCGAAUUUGAUAAAAUGUAAAAUACGAAAGUUGUAGAACUUUCUGUUGGCUGUUCACAGCAUGUUGAAGCGUUGAAAUUGGAUCUCGAAUGAGAGAGAUACAAGCAAAUUACUCAGACAUGACAAAUUUGUCAUUUGUGGACAUUUUUCAAGUCCACAAAAUAUUGAAAUGAGAAAAUUGAUAAUUGAUCAUAAUCAAUUUAUGGCUUGAAGCCUAGAUCACAUUUUGAGACUAUAAGUCUCAAUAGAAUAUGAUAGACUCAAAGUUUAUGUGAUAAUAAUACUCAAACUUAAGAUUUGAGUUGAUAUGUAUUUCUCAUUCAUAGUACUUUAAGUCUAAAUGAUAAGACUCUUGAACAAUUGAGUUAGAGGGUAUUCCCCAUUUAUAGUACUAUUCGUUCAUGAUCAAUGUACUAUAACAAUUUUAUUAUAUAUUGAGGCCCAAAUCGAGCACGUGCAAUCAAGUGACUCGAAUAUUUGAAUGUUGUAUUAUAACGAUUUUUAUUAUAUAUUGAGGCUUGAGGCCCAAAUCGAG